CCCAGGCCGGUCUGGAGCUCCUAAGCUCAAAUGAUCCUCCCGCCUCAGCCACCCAAAGUGCUGUGAGUACAGGUGUGAAUCACCACACCCAGUCCCAGCUGUUUUCUAAAUUUUUUGAGAGGUAGAGUCUUGCCGUAUUGCCUGGGCUGAUCUCAAACUCCUGGUCUCAAGCAUUCCUUCUGCCCGGGCCUCCCAAAGCACUAGGUUUACCAGUAGCCUGAGUCCCCCAUACCUGCUCAGGACUUCUCCGGGAGCACUCUCCUGGAAAAGUGCUGAAGUGGGAGAGUUUACAGGAGAAAGAGGAACUGAGAAAGGAAAGGGGUCUAGAAGAGAGGUUAGAAACGGGAACUUCAGUUUUCCCCUCAGGCUUUGUUUGCUGCUUCUAUAAAUAAGGGAUUUCUGAAAGAGAAGCAGGUAAAAGAAAAGGAGAAAGCCUUCAGCGAAUUUGUGAGCUGAUAGACAUGGAUUGCUUGCCUCUGUUUUGCCUGGGUUCUCGAGGAGUUUGCUGCUGUUUGAGAAUUCCCAUAGAGAAGCCCUGGCGUUGUCAGGAUAUGGCUAUGCAACGUUUCCCUUCCCCCUCUUCCCUCCACUCCUU